GAGAUGGAAAGGAGCUGCCCUCACUUUCCUGGUACUUGAGAAGAUCUCGUUACAAAUCAGGCUUCCAUGGCUGUGUAAACUAAGGAGAUGUCUCAUCCAUAACAGUCCGAUGGGGCCUUGAGUCCUCCCACUAGGGCUCUAAGGAAAGAUUAUUACAGUUUAAGCAACCAGGACAAUCAGAAAACCAGGAUUCUGUAGCUUCCCUCCCUGCACUCCCUCCCUCCCUCUUGCCCCUCCCCAACACCUCCAAUUUCUCUGAGUGAAGCCGGCUUAGCAUUAAGCUAUGACUCAUACAAACCAAGAGCUGAGCCAGGGGCCAGGCUGCCAGAAUCACUCCUCAGCUGAUGACAAGCCUACCCAGAAGCUGGGCCCUCACCCAUAGCAGACACAAUGGUACAAAGGUUUUGGACCUUUAGAGUCUACAGUGUAACAAACAUUCCCUGGGGAAGAGGAGGGAGGGAGAGAGGGAGAGGGGAGGGAGGGAAGAAAAGAAAGCAAUUGAAAGGAACUCAAACGGUAAAACCUAUAGGUAGCUACCAACCUAGCAGGUGGCUGGAGUUGUCAAAAAGACCAUAAGGACCAAUGGGAUCACUUAGCAAUUCUCUUCUACGGGAUCCUAAUGUGACAUGGAGAAGGUCCUCCCAGUCAGAAACAGAGGUAGAAGUAAAUACUUAUGCACACACACAUACGCACAUACUCCCUCACACAUGCACACACACACACACACACACACACACACACAGCCAUAGAAGAAGCCACGAUGAAGUGCAAAGGCCUUGAAGUACAGUGCAGCCUAGGGAGAAAUUAUUGGCAGCAGGAACAGGGGCUUCUGAGUUGCAGAGCAAGGCAAUCAUGUCAGUCAUUUGAACUAUGCCCUUGCUAGUAUCUCAUCUUUCUUACUUCAUGGACCAUCUUCUCAUCCAUCUUACAAAUUCCCCCCAAACUUUAGUAAAUCCAAAAUGUCAACCCUGUCUGCUCCUUCCCCAGGAGCACAAAAGUACCACUUGGCAAAAAUACUCCAGUUGUAGGGAUGGAACCAUUCUGAAUACACUGGGGCAUCAGCAUGGUCUCUUGGAAUACCUACAGGCUUAACACUUCCAGCUCUCCAACAUGAUCCAACUUCACAAAGCAAGAAAGCGAAACACUAGAUGGUAACACCCUCUGUCCUAAUCUUCAAGUUCAUUGAGUGUAUGUCCUUCCAUCUUUAUCCCUUACCUCUUGUGACUACUUUCAUAUUUUCACUUCAUAUAUCUAACCUCCAGCCUGACUGCCUUCCAGCUCUUCUCACUGUCCUCAGGGACCUCACAUCUCUACUCUCCCCUCUCUCUCCAGGUCCUCUCAUGUCUUCCUUUG